UAUACAGGUGUUGCAUGGCUGUCGUCAGCUCGUGUCGUGUAGAUGUUCGGUUAAGUCCGCUAACGAGCGCAACCCUCGUCGUAUGUUAUAUGUGUCAUACGAGACUGCCGGUAAAAGCCGGAGGAAGGUGAGGAUGAUGUCAAGUCAGCAUGACCUUUAUAUCCAGGGCUACACACACGCUACAAUGGUCUGUACAAUGGGUAGCCAAGCCGCGAGGCGGAGCCAAUCCUGAAAGCAGGCCUCAGUUCAGAUUGCAGUCUGCAACUCGACUGCAUGAAGCCGGAGUUGCUAGUAACCGCAGGUCAGCAAUACUGCGGUGAAUACGUUCCCGGGUCUU
rnacentral:rRNA from 1 species